GUGCCAGCCGCCGCGGUAAUACGGAGGGUGCGAGCGUUGUCCGGAAUCACUGGGCGUAAAGGGCGCGUAGGUGGCUUUUCAAGCGCGCGGUGAAAGCCCGGGGCUCAACCCCGGGUCGGCCGUGCGGACUGGGAGGCUUGAGCACUGUAGGGGCGGGUGGAAUUCCGGGUGUAGCGGUGGAAUGCGUAGAGAUCCGGAAGAACACCGGUGGCGAAGGCGGCCCGCUGGGCAGGAAGGCUCGCAAGAGCCGGCUGACACUGAGGCGCGACAGCGUGGGGAGCAAACAGGAUUAGAAACCCGAGUAGUCC
rnacentral:rRNA from 1 species